rnacentral:rRNA from 1 species
AGCGAACGCUGGCGGCAGGCCUAACACAUGCAAGUCGAACGAAGUCUUCGGACUUAGUGGCGGACGGGUGAGUAACACGUGGGAACGUGCCUUUAGGUUCGGAAUAACUCAGGGAAACUUGUGCUCAUACCGAAUGUGCCCUUCGGGGGAAAGAUUUAUCGCCUUUAGAGCGGCCCGCGUCUGAUUAGCUAGUUGGUGAGGUAAAGGAUCACCAAGGCUACGAUCAGUAGCUGGUCUGAGAGGAUGACCAGCCACAUUGGGACUGAGACACGGCCCAAACUCCUACGGGAGGCAGCAGUGGGGAAUCUUGCGCAAUGGGCGAAAGCCUGACGCAGCCAUGCCGCGUGGAUGAUGAAGGUCUUAGGAUUGUAAAAUCCUUUCACCGGUGAAGAUAAUGACUGUAGCCGGAGAAGAAGCCCCGGCUAACUUCGUGCCAGCAGCCGCCGUAACAC